UGCCCAUUCUACUACUGUGGUGAUUACGUCCUUGUCGUUCAAACACAAAGCAUCUAUGGAACAGAUAAAGCGCAUGUUUAAUAAAUUUUUUACCUUGAUUCAUCCGUCAUGGAGUUUACAGAAACGUUACAUGGGUGUUGGUCUCUAUUUCUGCAAUCGACAUGUUUUCAUGUGGCUUGGGUUUACCUUAUCUCAUUUUGUUACUCCUUUUGUGAACCUGAGCGCAAAAUGUAUUCUUAUCAGUAAAGUAAUUUUCUAUGUGGUCAUGGUUCACAAAACGCUUUCCUGUUAUUUCUGAGAGUGCUUGUUUUUAUUAUCUUAUCCUUUCCUGACAUUUCUUGCUGUUUUUUGUGGUAGAAGCAUGAAGUAGGGCGUGGACACAAAGAAUUCUGGUAUUGUCCUGCUUCUCCAGUUCAGAGAAUCCGUAUUCCACAGGUUAUUACCCUUGGAGGCCUUGACCACACAGAUGGUUUACUUGUAAUCCUAAAUGUAUUUUUUCCUUUCUCUGUCAAUGUAGUUGGUUUAGAAGGGAAGGCCAUAAAGAUAACUGCAAAAGUGGGAACAUUGAAGAGAAAAAAACAGAUGAGAGAAUUUUUGGAACAGAUUCCAAAGGAUGAUCAUGAUGACAUUUUUAGUUCUACGCCAUUCAGAAACAAGCGAGUAAAGGUAAAUCGCUUACCUGCCAAUUGACUGUUCUCCUUCCUUGCACCUAUAAAUGUGCUUUGACACCUUUUUAUAUAUGACUAACAAACCACCAAACCUCUUAUGUUCACAGCUUCCAUCCAUGAAUAUAUCGAGCGAUGAUUCCUUUGAACUGGCAGAUGCCAACCUAACACCAUCAUCAAAAAUAUUUCCAUUGGAUGCCACCCCCCAGUGUGACCAUCUCACUCCAGGAAUGCUGGAACCAGUGGACCGGUAAGAGUCGGACUGUAUUUUGGACAGGAGCAAUGAAUUUGAGCCGUCAUCUAUCAGUUGAUGUGCAUUCUUGUUGUUGGAGUAGAACAAUACACUCCCUAAGAGAGGUUCUAAUUUCUUUGUUGGGCUCCUUUAUGUUCUUGGUGUUACGUAUUCCUCCCUAGACAACUAAUGCAAUGCAAAAUAUGUUUGUUUCCCACAGCCAUCACUAAUAGUGCCUGUGAGAUUUGACAAAAGUUGACAGCGAAAGCAGUCUCAAUUUUCUUUGUUGCAUUGUAGUAGAAGGGAGAGAUGGGACGUUACCAGAAAUGAAAGAGUUCUGAAUUGAGCUUGCUUGGGAGUGUGGUGUUAUGGUGAAGGUAUCUUACCCUAAAGUACUAUGUAGUGGAUUUAUUUUUAUUAUUUUUAAAAAGAAGAAAAUCUGCUAUAAAUAUAUGCAAAAUUCUAUACGGUUAUGAAAUGUUUCACCACAAAUGGGUAAUUUUGAUUGUCAGAAUUCAGAGACACUGGGGGAGGUGUGUGUGUGUGUGUUUGUUUUUGUUUUUGUUUGUUUUUCCCCUGGUUUUAUGUGUUUCCCAGUAUAAUUUGUGUCCUAUACUCUUUUACCAUUCGGGAGUGUCCGUAUAAACGGAAUCCAUUCGUCUCCAGAAUGGGGACCACCACAGUGCCCCGUUAGAACCUUCGCAAUCUCAACAUAAAUGUGAAACUGCAAUGUUCGCACUGGCAACAUAAGUGUGAAACAGCAAGGGAAUUAAUGAGUGCUCCACUGGAUGGCCGCCAUUUCGUAUAGACGAACGCCAACCAGGCGGAGCAUUCAUACCCCCAAAAGUAGACGCUUCUCUUACAGGUUUCAGCACCGGAACUUCGCAUACAGAGAUUGAGCGGAGAAGGUGCCAUGGUGAGGUUGCCUGGGAUUGAUGGGGACUCUUUUGGGGCACUGGCUACUUUGUCGUGCUUUUCUGUGCCUGGGAGACAAAGGGACAUUCUCUUUUCCCGCGCCUUGGCUCCCACGCACAGAGGCUCAUGGGAUGAAGACCCACCUGUCGUCCUGGGCAAGAGACCCCUCGCUUUAGUGGCGUGCUUUCCAUAUUUGUGAGGCAAAGGAACAGCAUCCCCCCGUUCCCGCGCUUGGUUCCCCAGGUAGAGAGGAUACUGGGAUACAACCCCUGUUUGUGUGUUUUAAAGACCCCUUUGCAUGGGGAUAUGCAUGUGUGUGGCUCAAUAACAGCUGUGUCUCGUCCAGUUAAUGGGGGGGGAUGGGUCUCUUAUUAUUCCAAGUGGUUCCUGAGUGGCUGAAGGAAGGGGUUAGCGGAGGUAACCCGUCGUGUUACUCAGGGUCCGCUCAAGUGUGGUUGUUUGGAAUCUGUAUCAACAAAGACCUGGGACUACCUGCUCCUGAAUUCACUUGAACCCACUAUAUACUUGAGGCUCUGUACUAUGUCAAUUCUUUGAAAUCACCUAUCUGCAAAUAAAUACUUAUCGAUUUUUAUUUUUAUUUUUUUUUGUCUAUUACAAGUUGCCAACCAAAAUAAUAUGUAAUAUUGUGUAUAAACGUGCCACCUGCAGCCUUUAAAGGGGAAGCACACUGAGCUGAUUUUAAUUUUGCCAUCACCAAACACCUUCUGCAGCUUUAUUUUUUUGUGUUAAAGGGGCACUGUAGUCACCCAGACCACUUCAGCUGGUCUGGGUGCUGUCCCUUUUGAACCUAGUGCUGCAAUGUAAAAGAUUGCAGUUCCAGAGAACUGCAAAGUUUACAUUGCAGCACUAAGACUGCCCUCAGGGGCUGUCUACCAGACAGCCACUGUGGGCGCUUCCGGAAUCGGAACAGACUUUUGGUCCGUUAUCUGAUGCUGGAUGUCCUCAAGCUCUGCAUGAGACCCUCCACCGUCAGAUUUUUUCCCAUAAGAAAACAUUGAUUCAAUGCUUUCUUAUGGGGAGGUCUAAUGCGUGCGCAACAUUUUGCCGCGCAUGCAAAAUUUAAAUCACACUCUUCAGGGGGCGGAGUUUGGACACAGUGCCGAGGGAAAUCGGCACUGGGAUAAGGUAAGUAAGUAAAGGGCUUUUAACCCUUUAUUUACCUGGGAGGCAGAGGAAUCGGUAGUGCCAGGAAUAGAGCUUUGUAUUCCUGGCACCACAGUAUCCCUUUAAGGCUAGGAAAUGUUCUGUUUUUUUUUUUUUUGUUUUUUUUUUAAAUUACAAGCUAGUUAGAAAAAACAGUUACUUAAAUGAUGUUUAAAAAUACUCUUGCUUUUCCUAUAGAUUUCCUUAUACAGACUCUGUUCUUACCAACACCGCUAUAUUGUAUUGUAAUGGUUCUGGUGCAUAAAUGCUAUCCUUUUUCUUGGACUUUCUAAAACCUUUCCAUCUCUGGGGAAACUGUCAUGCAUUUUUUUUUUUUGUUAAAUGUAAACUUUGCAGAGAAGCCACUACAAGCCCUUCCUCAAGACGUACGUAAUGCUGAAUGUGAAAACCUUCAAAAACCCGUACAACAUGAUGACUUUGAUUGCAGCUACUGCUUCUCAUUUUGGAGCAUUGAAUUGGUAGAGUGAGAAAUUGUUGCACAUAUGCUUGAGGUCUUGAAUGCAUCUGAUUGGAUCAGAGAUAAUUUAGCAACUUUCCAAAAAGGGGGAAGAGUAACCUAAAAAAAAAUAGAGAAAAUAAACCCUAACAUUUACAGUUAUUUCAAAGGAACACUAUAGGGUCAGGAACACAAACCUGUAUUCCUGACCCUAUAGUGUAAAAACUACCAUUUAGGUGGGACACCCCUCCUUGGACCCCUUAGAAAGGGUUCAAAUAUACCUAAUUUCCAGUGCCG
rnacentral:lncRNA from 1 species